AGACUUGCUGCAGAUCCAGUCCAAAUAUACAUGCUAUACAAAGGGCAAUAUAAUAUAAGCCUGUUACUGCAAUUUCCGCAGACUUGUCAAGAAGAUCCCAAUGCGCAAACCCUUUUGCACCAAAUGUGGAGCAACAAUCAAGACAUGAGCUGAACUUCACUUAAAGCCUUGGUCAAAAAUACUCAAUGAUCCACACAUCCUGAAACAUAAACCGGAAAGUUCAAUUUACUUAUCACCCAAGCCAUAAGCUAAAAUCAGCACAACAAGCUUCAUAAUCAAACAUUAAAACAAUAUGAUCCAACCAACCAUUGCAUUAUGAGUAACGAAAACCAUCACAUGUUCAUAUGAAUACAUAAACCAUAAGCUACAAAAUGGAAGUCCAAAUACAAAGCUGCUACGGCAAUACAAAAAAGCUGAGUUAAAGCGAAUGCAGUGCAAGCUGCAUAAGCAGGACGCAGCAACCAAACGUAAUCCGUGACUUCGCCAAAGCCAC
rnacentral:lncRNA from 1 species